GUUAUGGUGCCAGAGGCACUGACCAGUGGGAUUGGCUCUCUGUUCUGAAGAUGUUAUUUUCCUCGGAAAUCGCUACAAAUGUCAGUUACAUACUUGAUCCAAGUGGUGUUUAUUUUGCCUCUCCUGAAGGAGAUUGCCAAAGCUGUAUUGAAUAUACAAAGACACUUCCACAGAAUCCUUUCACAGAGAUCUUUGGAAUGACUGAAAAUGCUGCUAUUACCAAGGCUCAGUCAGGAACACAACUGCUACUUAACAACAUUCUUCUUACCACAGGUAUGUAAAGCCACACGCCACCUUACCCUAACCUUCUACUAGUUCACAUUCCCUCCUGAGUUUUUACUGUACUUAUUGUGUUCUAGCUCCAUUCUGGUGAAAUUACUUUUCCACCUAAGAAUAUUUUAAGGGUGUUUUUUUGUUUAUAUUUUUUCUGUCUUCCUGAGGAAACAUUUUGUGACUGUACAGUCAGUUUAUGUGAUCUCCUACUUCCUCCAGCUUUUCAACAAUUUUCAACUCCUUGGCCAGUUCUAGUCCAGUUUGUAAGCCAGGUACAGUCUCGUGCUGCCAUGGUUCAGGAGAAAGAGAGAAAGAUAGGUAGGCAACUGGAUUUAGUUAGUUCUAAGCUGGUAACUUUCACUGCAGUAAUAGAGGGAAUUCUGCUGCUUUAGAGAAAGGCACUUGCAGCAAUUCUUGCCACAGAAUGUAAAACAAGACUGGUGAGGAGGGUUUACAGUUAGUAAAACUCAGAAGUGCUCUGGGCAGACAAUGUUUCUGAAGGAUGGAGUGAGAGUUUCCAGGAUGGGCAGCUUUCUCCAGAAGAGGCCAUGGACCUUUUCCCUGAGCAAUCCAAUGACUGUGGGAUCAGCCAGGAGAUCACAGUAACUUUCCAUGGAAUCCCCCAAUCCUCUGUUCUUGCUAUCAGUAUUGCUCCUACCUGAUCUAGAAGUUUGUAACAUCUGUUGGACAGAGCAUUUGUGUUCGUAUUCAAUUGUUUAAGCAACCCUGUGAAGCAAAGUAUUUUGACACCUUCCUUUUCAGAAUUUCUUUUAGGGACUUUUAGUGAUGUCUGCUGAACUGAAACACAAAAAUAAUCAAUCCUUAAAAAACUCAACAAAAAUAUCUGCUCCUUGAAUAUUUUUUUUAUUUUCUGAAGGCUCCUUAUGUAUAAGGAACAUACAUAAAAUGAACACAACACUGUUGACAAUAAACAAAACUGCAUUUGAUAAUUUCCAGCUUUAUAAAAUUUUUUAAAAAUGAUUUAGUUAUAACAAAAAAAAAUAGCUCAGCAAGU